CAACUACUCCCUCCGUCCGGAAUUACUUGUCGCACAAAUGUAUAAAAAUGGAUGUAUCUAGAACUAAAAUAUAUCAGAUACAUCCAUUCCUAUGACAAGUAUUUUCGAAUGGAAGGAGUAUCUG
rfam:Hordeum vulgare subsp. vulgare, WGS project CAJW01000000 data, contig: morex_contig_48441